rnacentral:rRNA from 1 species
AGAACUCUUUAGCUUGCUAAAGAUAGUAAAGUGGCGCACGGGUGAGUAACGCGUGGGUAAUCUACCUCUGAAUCGGGGAUAACUCGCCGAAAGGCGAGCUAAUACCGGAUAAUAUCUUUAAAACCUCGGUUUUUUAGAUCAAAAGUGGUCUCUACAUGUAAGCUACUGUUUGGAGAUGAGCCCGCGUACCAUUAGCUUGUUGGUGGGGUAAUGGCCUACCAAGGCCGCGAUGGUUAGCUGGUCUGAGAGGAUGAUCAGCCACACUGGAACUGACACACGGUCCAGACUCCUACGGGAGGCAGCAGUGAGGAAUUUUGCGCAAUGGGGGAAACCCUGACGCAGCAACGCCGCGUGAGUGAUGAAGGCUUUCGAGUCGUAAAGCUCUGUCAAGUGGGAAGAAUAUGGUAGAUAUUAACACCAUCUAUCAGUGACGGCACCACUAAAGGAAGCACCGGCUAACUCCGUGCCAGCAGCCGCGGUAAUACGGAGGGUGCAAGCGUUAUUCGGAUUUAUUGGGCGUAAAGGGCGCGUAGGCGGUCUCUAAAGUCAGAUGUGAAAUCCCGGGGCUCAACCCUGGAAGUGCAUUUGAAACUUAGGGACUUGAGUAUGGGAGAGGGAAGUGGAAUUCCUGGUGUAGCGGUGAAAUGCGUAGAUAUCAGGAGGAACACCAGUGGCGAAGGCGACUUCCUGGACCAAUACUGACGC